rnacentral:rRNA from 1 species
UACGGGAGGCAGCAGUGGGGAAUAUUGCACAAUGGGCGCAAGCCUGAUGCAGCCAUGCCGCGUGUAUGAAGAAGGCCUUCGGGUUGUAAAGUACUUUCAGCGGGGAGGAAGGCGAUGCGGUUAAUAACCGCGUCGAUUGACGUUACCCGCAGAAGAAGCACCGGCUAACUCCGUGCCAGCAGCCGCGGUAAUACGGAGGGUGCAAGCGUUAAUCGGAAUUACUGGGCGUAAAGCGCACGCAGGCGGUCUGUUAAGUCAGAUGUGAAAUCCCCGGGCUUAACCUGGGAACUGCAUUUUGAACUGGCAGGCUUGAGUCUUGUAGAGGGGGUAGAAUUCCAGGUGUAGCGGUGAAAUGCGUAGAGAUCUGGAGGAAUACCGGUGGCGAAGGCGGCCCCUGGGACAAAGACUGACGCUCAGGUGCGAAAGCGUGGGGAGCAAACAGGAUUAGGAUACC